rnacentral:rRNA from 1 species
GACGAACACUGGCGGCGUGCUUAACACAUGCAAGUCGAACGGAAAGGCCCUGCUUUUGUGGGGUGCUCGAGUGGCGAACGGGUGAGUAACACGUGAGUAACCUGCCCUUGACUUUGGGAUAACUUCAGGAAACUGGGGCUAAUACCGGAUAGGAGCUCCUGCUGCAUGGUGAGGGUUGGAAAGUUUCGGCGGUUGGGGAUGGACUCGCGGCUUAUCAGCUUGUUGGUGGGGUAGUGGCUUACCAAGGCUUUGACGGGUAGCCGGCCUGAGAGGGUGACCGGCCACAUUGGGACUGAGAUACGGCCCAGACUCCUACGGGAGGCAGCAGUGGGGAAUAUUGCACAAUGGGCGGAAGCCUGAUGCAGCAACGCCGCGUGCGGGAUGACGGCCUUCGGGUUGUAAACCGCUUUCGCCUGUGACGAAGCGUGAGUGACGGUAAUGGGUAAAGAAGCACCGGCUAACUACGUG